rnacentral:lncRNA from 1 species
GGCACCUUCCCAGCUGCUAAUGUCACCAGGCUUCAGCACACAGCCUGGCUGAGAGGAGCACUUGGUGGCAUGAGGUGAUGCUCAGUGCACGAGUAGUUCCUCAUGCCAAACAUGGUGGAAGCAAGCACCUUCAGGAAGCAAACUACACUUUCUGUAGUGUGGGUUUCGGUGCAGCUGCAGCUUAAGUGUUGAAGCCUACAUCUGUUGUCAUGUGUUGGAGAGAAGGAAAAACCAUUCCUUGUUCCUUUUUGGAAAUGCCAGCGACACAGACAGUGAGAAAUUGCUUUUCUCGAGUCUUGGUCACUCCAUCAUGGAACAAAGCACAAGUCUGCUGCAAUUUAUACUCUGUAGCACUUUUUGCUAAUUAAUCCUGACCCCAAACAAAGCUAAGGAGAGAGAGAGAAGCAAGGAGUUAAAAUAAAAAAACUAGCGUUAUGCAAAUAGAAAAGAACAUCCCCCAGUGGCUUGCAGGAAAUCCUGGCACGAGCAGCAGAGCACAAAUACAACUGUUGAAGCAC